GGCUCAGAACGAACGCUGGCGGCAUGGAUUAGGCAUGCAAGUCGAACGGUGCGAGCAAUGCAUAGUGGCGCAAGGGUGAGGAACGCGUGAGUAACCUACCCUCAAGUUGGGAACAGCUUACUGGAAACGGAAAUUAAUACCGAAUGUGACCAUAGGAAGGCAUCUUCUGUUGGUUAAAGGCCGCAAGGUCGCUUGAGGAGGGGCUCGCGUCCAUUAUGCUAGUUGGUGAGGUAACGGCCCACCAAGGCGAAGAUGGGUAGCUGGUCUGAGAGGACGAUCAGCCACACUGGGACUGAGAACUGCCCAGACUCCUACGGGAGGCUGCAGUCGAGAAUUUUGGGCAAUGGACGAAAGUCUGAACCCCAGCAAUGCCGCGUGCGGGAUGAAGGUCUUCGGAUUGUAAACCGCUGUCAAGUGGGACGAAACAAAUGACGGUACCGCUGAAGGAAGUCACGGCUAACUACGUGCCAGCCGCCGC
rnacentral:rRNA from 1 species